AUGUUUUAUUGUAACACUAGUAUUACUGAUGCAUUCACAUGUAACAGUACAGUAACAGUAUUUUACAAUUAAAUCUUAAAGCUAAAUCUAACUACUUUAAAUGCUGUUACAGUAGGUGGUGUUUGAUUUCUAACACUGCCAUACUCAUUGUUUUUUUGUUUUUAUUAUAUAAAAGCUUAAUUUGUAAAAUUGUAACUUUAAGUCUCAAAUGAAGCAAAAGUGGACCAGUAGCUAAGAGGCCAGUAACACUUGUGACUGACUGCAAGCAUGUAAGUAUCAUCUGUGCCUGUCAGUCAAGGCACAGAGCAGCCCGGUGCAGGGUGUGUAUAACUGCCCUGUUGCCAGCAGAGCAGGAAUCACCAUCAACACAACAUUAACAUUCACUUCAGCGGUGAGACAAAACCCAAGAGCGUCACAUCAGCCUACAGGUCUUCAGGAGCAGGAGUUGGGACAUCUGAAAACAUCACAAUGUCUUACGACAGGAUUCUGUCCAUCGAAAACUUGAGUGAUGUUCCAAAUCCUUGGAAGGGAUUCACUAUGAACCGCUGCAUAGUGCUGGCGCUGGUCGUGCUGCUUGUCAGCUCGAGUGUACAUGAAGUUCAUGAAGCUGUGGAUUAUUUUGUGGAGGAGACAGGCAUCAGGUCUUUCAUUGGGAGUCUGCAGGAUGGAUCAAUAUUUCAGAUUUCCAUAUGGGACAGUUUCAUGGGCUGGUGGGGAUCUGAAGAAGUCGGAGCGAUAAGAAGAAGAAAAAAGCCGAUGGGCGCCAAAGUGACCCUGAAACCCAAAAUCAAAGAGUGAUUCGCACACAGCUGUUUAAAGCAUUAAAUGUCACAACAACAGGUUUCUGAAUAAAGAAACAGUCUCAAUGUACUUUGCAUUUAAUAAUAAACAGAUACAGAAUGUUA